ensembl:lncRNA
GAGAGCAGAGUUACCGCAGGACCUCGUGAAUAUAAGGUCAAGUUGGUUCUCCUUGGGUACUUGCAAUACCCAAGGAGUUGGAUCCAGGAUAAUGUUUGUUCAAUGGACACCAAAGCACAGUGCUUCAUGCACAUCUUAGCAAUGCUAAACUUGGCAACCUGUAUUAAAGCAAAGGAAACUAAUUCCGAAAGCAAAGAUUUAUUCAUAUACAGCCAUUAGAAAUGAAAGACAUUGCAGUUGAUCAGUAGUCACCCUUCCCAGGCUGUCUUGGAUCAGCUGGCCCUCCCUCACCAUUUCCCAUUCCAUAACUGUUAGAGACCAACGCGUCAGCAGAGGCGACCAUAGGCUCUCCGGGGUUGUAUCUGGUUAGGAAGAAGGCCUGUCUGCCUUGCUGGUAGCGUGACCCGGAACUGAAGUGGUAGACCGGCUCCAGGUCAGAGACGUCGCUCAACACGGGCUCUUCCUCAGGUUCCUCCAGCUCCUGGUCCAUGGGGGCGACAAGCUCCUCAGGGUAGCCUUCAGGAACAGGGUACUGAGCAUCACUACCAGAGUCCAUCGCACCGCUCUUGGCCCAGCCAGAGUCGCCAGCAUCCAUAUUGGAGCCAUCAUUUGAGUAGACCCCGUCAUCAGCCUUUGAGUCACUGUUCUGCUGGGACCAAGUGGAAGCCGCUCUUCCAAUGUACUCUUGCGUUGUGCUGCCAUAAGUAUACACCGAGCCGGCUUGACCAACAGGAUAAGUAGAGCGAGGACUGCUGAAGUCACUCCAUGCUGGUGAAGGAUUGUUUGAGCCAAAACCUAAAAGGGGGCCACAUUAACCCAUUAAUGUUGCUCUUCCCUAAAACCCUAUUGCUUGUUAGUUACUUGAGAGUUAAGUUUGUAAAGAAAGUAAGUCGUACCUUUAUCUACUGGUAGCGAUAAUAUACACCCAAUCAGACACAAUAUCCAGGUUGACCUGAGAAUAGAGUAAGAGUAAGUCAGGUGAUUUCACAAUUAAGUGUAGUUUCUUCACAUUCAAGUUUCAAUAUUAACAUUACCUCAAAGAGAUUGAACAAGGAACAUGCAUGUCGUUUUUUUUCAGGUGUUGCUGGGUUUUGCUCUACAAACCAAUUGCCAGGCCCUGUAAACUAAAUACCUCUCAGAAGUAACGGUGGUUCUUUUAAAGGAUUGUUCACUCCAGUUCCAUUGAUUACUGAUUAACCACAUCUGUUGACCAUCAGCAGCCACAGGAGCCUGGAGGAGUGAGGAGGGGAUCGGGUCCAGCGGUGGCGUGGUCAGACAAAACUACUCUGUUGACAUCUUCGGAGGUGAGAGGGACAAGGUGGGUAAAACAUGUAGGGAUAUGGGGAGGGAGGAUGGUGGCAGGGGUAAAAGAGGAGAUGAAGUCCUUCACCUUCUGGGUAAAGUAGGUAACAAAGCCCUCAGCUGUGAGUGAGGAAGGAAGGGGAGG